CCUACGGGUGGCAGCAGUGAGGAAUAUUGGUCAAUGGCCGGAAGCCUGAACCAGCCAUGCCGCGUGAAGGUCAGUGCCCUAUGGGCGUUAAACUUCUGUUGUGCGUGAGCAAUAAUGGUCACGUGUGGCCAGACGAGAGUACCGUACGAAUAAGCAUCGGCUAACUCCGUGCCAGCAGCCGCGGUAGUACGGGGUAUGUAAGCGUUGUCCGGAUUUAUGGGGUGUAAAGGGUGCGUAGGCUGGGAGUUAAGUCAUCGGUGAAAUGCCCCCGCUCAACGGGGUGAAGUGCCAUUGAUACUGCCUUGCUGGAAUGCGGAUGCCGUGGGAGGAAUGUGUGGUGUAGCGGUGAAAUGCAUAGAUAUCACACAGAACACCGAUUGCGAAGGCAUCUCACGAAUCCGCGAUUGACGCUGAUGCACGAAAGCGUGGGUAUCAAACAGGAUUAGAUACCCGGGUAGUC
rnacentral:rRNA from 1 species